rnacentral:lncRNA from 1 species
AGAAUUAGGGGUACAAGAUACCCACCUAAGAGAAAAGAAAAAUAAAAUAUAGAGCAUCUCAUUCUCCUCAAAAAUUUUCAAAAGAGCAAGAAAGGUAUGUAUCCCCUCAAAAGAGCAUAAGUAGAAUUAGACUUUCACCAUUGUUAUCACCAUCAUCACCAUACACCAUUCAUUCGCCACACAUGCACAUCUUGAUUUGACUUAUUGACUUGUUCUUCUGGAUCCAUGGUUUGACUAUGCAAUAAAUGUCUUGUAAGUAUGUAUUAGCUGUCUGCCACCUAUGAGCUCC